rnacentral:rRNA from 1 species
AUUGAACGCUGGCGGCAGGCCUAACACAUGCAAGUCGAACGAGUGGCGGACGGGUGAGUAAUGUCUGGGAAACUGCCUGAUGGAGGGGGAUAACUACUGGAAACGGUAGCUAAUACCGCAUACCAUCAGUUGUGCCCAGAUGGGAGUAGCUUGUUGGUGGGGUAACGGCUCACCAAGGCGACGAUCCCUAGCCGGUCUUGGAGGAAGACCCGCCAAACCUGGACCGAGACACCGUCCCGACUUCUAAGGGAAGCAGGAGUUGGGAAAUAUGGGAAAUUGGGGAAAGGCUGAUUGAGCCCAGCCGGGUGGUUUAAGAAGGGCCUUGGGGUGUAAAAGUAUUUCAGGCGGGAAGCGUUACCCGCAGAAGAAGCACCGGCUAACUCCGUGCCAGCAGCCGCGGUAAUAC